rnacentral:lncRNA from 1 species
ACACAUCUAACCACUCUUCAGCUGAUAUCCACUUGCUGACAAAUGAAUCUCUCUGGCCCCUGGACUGUGCCCUGAAACACAGCUUAAAACAGCAGAAUGAACAGUAAUCCCAGAGAUCCUGAGAUGAGAAAAGGGUGUUUGACUUAUUCAAAGAAGACCAAGGAAGCCCAAAGACCAGAGAAGAGUGCAGGAAAGGGGCGGCGGUCUGAGAUGCAGUCAGAGCAGUGGCAAGCCCCCAGAGUCUGUGGCAAAGACUUCAGGUUUCAUCCUGAAGAGGAAGACAGGUCUUUGGAGAGUUUUGAUCAAGGAAGUGAGAUGAAAUAUCUUAGGCUUACAAAGAACUACUCUGACAUCUAAAUGGAAAAUGGACUGAUGAAGCAAAAGAAGCCACAAGGAAGCCAGUUCAGAGGCUAUUGAAAUGCUCCAGAUACUCAGAGAGUGAGAGCCUUCAGAUUUGGGUGAGUGAUGCCAUUAGAACCAAGAUUUCUUCCAUUCUUCUGCUCUAUCAUUCUCAGCACAACAUGCUUUUCUCAUUAAGGCCGCUGUGGUUCGUCUUCUGCCUGGGAACUGGAUAAAAACAUCAGUGAAUACCCCAAAGAUUUUCAAAAAUGCUUGUUGAUAAAAUGAAGUCAGAAUGUGAGAUGAGCCCUUCCACCUGAGUGAUGUUGGUCUUGGCUGUGUGAUUUGCUUUGGCUGAUGAUAAGUUGAUGGAAGUGAUAGUAAGACAAUGCUGAGCCUCAUCCUCGGAAGUAUCUCUGCCUUCACCUGGCUUUGUGCACCACUGCCCUGGCUUUGAGAAGAACAUGAGCCCAGUAAAUUGUUAGUCCAGGAAGAAUGAGAGAGAAAGUCCUGAGGCAGAGAAGUGGAGAGAAGUUGCUGCUUGAGCUUGAGAAAGAAUGGUGGCAGAGUACAUGCAUGGAAGUGCUACCAUAGCUGCUCUGAAAUCAGAGGAAAGUGGAAUUAUAAGAAGACCCCAUCUGACAAGGCUCAUAAAGGAGAGCAACUCUUAUGGAAUACAUCCAAGAUAUAUACGUCUUUGAAGAAAGACAUCACUCAACUGUGAAAGAUCACCAUGACCCCUGCUUUAAUUUCAUCAAAAAACUUAGUCCAUCAGCUCAGUUACCCUUUAGCCUUGCAUGGGAAUUGACUCAGAGCUUCUGCAAGAUCAGGCCCUAUAUUAGGUAUUGAGGGUUCAGGGAUGAACUAAGCUGAUCUGGUUCCUGCUCUCUAGGCUGUAGAAGAUGGCAAGUGCUGUGGACUUCAAAGAAAAGAUUUCUGAAGUGUCAUGUUAUGACAAUUGUGAUGCUUCAAACUAUGUUGACUAUUCAUUUACAGCAUAAAGAAGAGUGAGCCACUUUAUCACUGCAGUAAUUAUAUUUUAAAAAUAAAGAAAAUAAAACAAAUGGAGUUUCCCACCCAAUCCAUGGAGACACAGACACGAAGUCUUACUAUAGAUGUGUGGCCAAUCCUUACAUUGCUUUUAUUACAAGCCUGGAAAUGACAAUAAAAUACAUGAACUUGAGAGUAUAUA